rnacentral:rRNA from 1 species
UACGAAGGGGGCAAGCGUUGUUCGGAAUUACUGGGCGUAAAGCGUGCGCAGGCGGUUGUGUAAGACAGAUGGGAAAUCCCCGGGCUCAACCUGGGAACUGCAUUUGUGACUGCACAGCUGGAGUGCGGCAGAGGGGGAUGGAAUUCCGCGUGUAGCAGUGAAAUGCGUAGAUAUGCGGAGGAACACCGAUGGCGAAGGCAAUCCCCUGGGCCUGCACUGACGCUCAUGCACGAAAGCGUGGGGAGCAAACAGG